UACAGAGGCCUCGAGCGUUAGGCGGAAUCACUGGGCUUAAAGCGUGUGUAGGCGGAUGCCUAAGUACCUUGUGAAAUCCCACGGCUCACCCGUGGAACGGCUCGGUAUACUGGGCGUCUUGAGCCACCUAGGGGCUGCCGGAACAAAUGGUGGAGCGGUGAAAUGCGCAGAUAUCAGGAGGAACACCGAUGGCGAAGGCAGUGGGCUGGGCCGGCACUGACGCUGAGGAGCGAAAGCGUGGGGAGCGAACAGG
rnacentral:rRNA from 1 species